rnacentral:rRNA from 1 species
CAGCAAUGCCGCGUGAACGAUGAAGUCCUUCGGGAUGUAAAGUUCGUAAGCAGGAGAAGAACACAAUGACGGUAUCCUGUGUAAGCCCCGGCUAACUACGUGCCAGCAGCCGCGGUAAUACGUAGGGGGCAAGCGUUGUUCGGAUUUACUGGGCGUAAAGGGCGCGUAGGCGGCGCGUAAAGUCGGACGUGAAAUCACUGGGCUUAACCUAGUGGCUGUGUCCGAUACUUGCGUGCUUUGAGUGCGGGAGAGGCAAUCGGAAUUCUCGGUGUAGCGGUGAAAUGCGUAGAUAUCGAGAGGAACUCCGGUGACGAAGGUGGGUUGCUGGACCGACACUGACGCUGAGGCGCGAAAGCUAGGGGAGCAAACGGGAUUAGAUACCCCGGUAGUCCUAGCCCUAAACGAUGAAUACUUGGUGUGCGGGUUUCUUAGUACCCGCGUGCCGUAGCUAACGCGAUAAGUAUCCGCCUGGG